UGGCUCAGAGGAUAAAGCGCCUGCCUGCAAUGCAGGCGACCUGGGUUCGAUCCCUG
rnacentral:tRNA from 1 species